GAUUAUGAGCAAUAAAGCGGCUUGAUUUCGACUUAAGUAAUGGAUUUAUUAGUGAAAUUC
rnacentral:tRNA from 1 species